CAUGGCACAAGCUAACAUUACGGAGUUCAAGAUCUUUGGGGUCCUUCAGCACUCGCAUGUCGCUGGUGUCCGCAUCACCACACGUCACUUCCGGGGCGGGCGCGAGCUUCCGCUGCUUAUCACCGAUCCGAAUUACGAUUUCAACUUUCAGGACCUUCGGAAAUUACCGGAAGAGAUCGCCGUUCACCCAGGUGACAGCUUCAGAGUAGAUUGUCACUAUAACACCGUUGGAAAAACACAGCCAGUUUAGGGUGGUCUGACAACUAAAGAAGAGAUGUGCUUGUCGUUUGCCUACUACUACCCGAGAACACCAUUGGCAAUCGGCAUGUCGUUGCCGAACUAUGGUAUAUACGCUGUCGAUGCGGCAUCGAAGACCUGGCAGAUGAUUCAGAAUGCGGACUGGACCAACAAGACCGUGGUAGACUGGUUCUAUCAGCAGCAAAGCACCGGGCCCAGAUUUGCAUGGUGCGCUGGAGACAGUUUGAAGCUUCCUGACGAUUUUAACUACCGGUUUACUGGCGAUCUACCACCGCAUGAUUACGUUGAGCCAAGCAAGUGCCCGUAACGAAUAAUUGAUUCUGAUUGGACAAUCGCUAAUCACGUGUUGGUAACAAACCACCGAUUCAGAUUUAAGGACAUAUGCUGCAGUUUUAAAUAAAUGUUGGUUACACCUGGAAUUCGAUU